UGUAUACAGCCUUGCAUCACCAUCAAGGUGAUACGCAUAUCCAUCAUCUCCCAAGCCUCCUUGUAACCCUUUUUUAUAAUAAGGACACUUCCUGUGAGGGUGACCCUCUUAGCAAAUUUUCAAGCACGCAGUACGGCGUGGUUAGCAGUAGGUGUGCUGAAGCGCUGAUCCGUGAAAUUUACCCGCUGGGAAAAACGUCUUCACAGUAUUGUUACCAGUGUCUGAAACUACAGAGUCAGCUUUCAGUGGGCGAUGGAUUAGCCCUGGAUUGGCUCAAGAUCAGUUCCUGUGACCCAAGUCUGUCCAGUCAGAAUCUGUCCUAGGAGUUUUUCUGAAGCCCCUAGGGAAAGAGACUCACAAUGUAGUUCAGGCUGGCUUUGAACUCGCCAUGUAGUGCAGGCCGGCCUGGAACUCAGCAGUCCUCCUGCCGCAGCCUCCCAAGUGCUCCAUCACAGCCAGCUGCAAACAUAUUUUAACUUCUGUUAAAAUGAGAAGGUGAAAUGAGUCUUUGGUACGUAAUUCUGACCUAUCCGUGCUCACACCAGUCAUGAGACGUAAUGCUGAAUCUGGUUCCGUGGCGGAAAGAACUGUGAGAUCCAGGUGCCUGGGACACAUGAAGCUGAAGAAGGCUGGCCGGGCGGAGAGAGGGCAGACAGGAUGGCAGGUCUCUCUGGCGAGGGGUACAUGGUCCCCAGGCACAGCUAUGUGUGCUGAUGUCGGCAGCUGCGUGGGAUCCUCACAGCACAGACGGGGAACUGGGGCCAGCAAGGUUAACCGCAUGCCCAGAGCCACAGCCCGUGAGAACCACCUUUGAACACUUGCGUCUGAUUCAGCCUGAGCUUUGCAAUGCUGAGCAGCUUCCUGCCCGAGGAGGGGCUGAGCCAGGACCCUGCCAGCUGCUGCUGGGCUCUUCCCACAGCCUCUCUCGGCCCUGGGCAGCACACCCCUUUUCUGUCAUUUGCCACCAAAGCCCAGAGUGGCACACAAGGCCGAGAUAGAGGGGAGCUGGACAGCCUGUCCCGCUAGCACCCCGGCCCCACCCCUCUGGGACGUCAGACUCCAUGGAAGCGACCCCACUACCCGGCAACAGGAGGGCAGUUUCCUGGGGACUGAGCCCCACACCGCCCAGCCCUUGACGCAAGCUUCCUGUGGAGGAGCCAGAGCCGCCACGGCCACAGGGUCUGGACCGAGGUUGCCGCCCGCCACCCGGCUUCACCUGCACACAUCCAGUGUCUCCACUGCACGCCUCCCUGCAGCCUGCCCAGGCCUGGCAGCGCCCACGGCUCCAGCUUCAGCUCUACUGGGAGUCAGCUGGAAGCGGGGUUCUACUGGAGAGAAAGUGAUCUGCAACACACGGGGAGUCAAGCUUCUGAAAAGUCCACCUGCAGAGGCGAUUCGGGCCUGUCAGUCUCCCGGGCCCCCUCACAGAGCCUGGCGCAGGACCACCCAGGCGUCAGCCUCCUGCUGUGCUCCAGCCCACACCAGCCCAGGAACUGCGACACAGUCGGAGCAGCCUGGCUGAGAGUGCAGGCCAGAGGCAUGUAGACCACAGCCGUGAGCGUGGCUGUGCACGGGCACCGGCCGCUCCGAGCUGACACCGAGGACAUCGGCAGGGCAGCCCUCUCGCCAGCAGUGGGGACACCCCCUGACCACAAGGGGUGCAGCAGUGUGCCCAGCACCACCCUGAUGCCCGUCAGUCAGAGACCCUGGAGGCCGCUGUGGAGCCCUCGGCGACCAUGGCCCUGGAAGGGCAGUGUGUCCCGUGCAUCCCGGUCAGGCGCUUGAGUCUUGGGCCCCUUCAUGUGGCCCCGACCUGCUGUGGUUUCGUCACAAGCUGCGACUUUGGCUGCUCUGGUGCAGGACUCUGGGGUGCGGAUGCAAAUCCACUUUCUGCUGCACCUGGGGGCUGAGCUCACAGGAGGGAGGCUCCACACCAGCCUCAGAGGCUCUGGCUCCUGGAGGUGGCCGAAUCUGGAAUGUGUGACGCCAGGAUUAAGGGUGUGUGGUUACUAAACCACUACACUUGAGGGAGUGGUUUGGCACUGCCCUGAUCCUGUUGGUCUGGACGGGAUGAAAGGGGCAGAGAGACGCUGUUAAGGUCCUUUGUUGCUUUUGCUGUCUUCCACCACCAUGAACUGUUGGCCUUCUGGCACCCUGACUUGGAGCCAGCUCCUUAUGAACUGAAACCUCUAUGAACUGUAAGCCAAAUAAACCUUCCCCCC
ensembl:lncRNA